GCAUGUAUUACCAAGAUGGGGCCAUGGGGUGGAAUAGGUGGCCAAGCUUGCAGAAUCAUGGUGGAACCCGUAUGUCUAAAUAGCAUAACGAUCCGUAGUGGGAAGACGUUACUAGCAAUUGCGUUUUCAUACAGUGACAAGCAUGGAAAGCCUCACCAUGCAGGUCCAUGGGGAGCUAACGGAGGCCAGCUUAUAGGGUCCUCUUUUCAUACGAUUUUGCUUGGCCCCUCGGAGCAUCUGAUCCAAAUUUCUGGAACAGUUGAUAUGAAUAUCGAGCAUUCUACCGACGUCAUAACAUCAAUUACGUUUACCACCAAUAUGAGUGUCUAUGGCCCUUUUGGAACAAGAGAAGGACUUCCUUUUCGCAGUAAACUGGUGAGCAAUGGAAGUAUCGUUGGCUUCUUUGUUCGAGCUAUGUGCCUGAUUGAUGCGAUUGGUAUCUAUGUGAAACCCGAGAGAGAACCAAUGGAAAAACAGGGUUUGAUCACGAAAACUGGACCAUGGGGUGGUUACAACGGGUAUCUUUAUGACGUGGAUGUGUCGCCCCGACGCCUGGUAAGUGUGGUAGUUCGCUGCAGCGAGGUAAUCGAUUCAAUUGCGUUCACAUACAUUGACUGCGAUGGACGGCAACAUAGUGCUGGUCCAUGGGGAGGACAUGGUGCAAUUCGAGACGGUGGGACCAUCCAUACGAUUGUGCUUGGCCGUUCGGAAUAUUUGAAGGAAAUUUCAGGGACAGUCGGUCCGAGUCCACAUCCAGACAUUGUAAUGUCACUUCUCUUUGUUACCAAUAUUGGUAGCUAUGGACCAUUUGGAGGUGGAGGGGGAACUACUUUCUGCAGUCCCGAGCUGAAAAAUGGUAGCAUUAUCGGAUUCUUUGCGCAUGCCGGACAGAAUGUUGACGCAAUUGGUGUCUACGUGGAUGCAAUAAAAGAGAAG
rnacentral:rRNA from 1 species